UGGGGAAUAUUGCACAAUGGGCGCAAGCCUGAUGCAGCCAUGCCGCGUGUGUGAAGAAGGCCUUCGGGUUGUAAAGCACUUUCAGCGAGGAGGAAGGCGUUAAGGUUAAUAACCUUAGCGAUUGACGUUACUCGCAGAAGAAGCACCGGCUAACUCCGUGCCAGCAGCCGCGGUAAUACGGAGGGUGCAAGCGUUAAUCGGAAUUACUGGGCGUAAAGCGCACGCAGGCGGUUUGUUAAGUCAGAUGUGAAAUCCCCGAGCUUAACUUGGGAACUGCAUUUGAAACUGGCAAGCUAGAGUCUUGUAGAGG
rnacentral:rRNA from 1 species